UUUUUAAGUUUUGUUGAAAUCGUGAAACGCAGCAACUCAUGUAUUUUUUCGUCUGCUACGAGUGACUUGUGUAGUUCUGCGAAAUAUUUAUUUUUUAAAAAAACAGUGAUAGAAAAGGGGGUUAAGACCUCUUUUGAACUCAGAUACUUCAAUAUCAACAAUGAGGAAGAGGAUGAUGAUGAUGACAAGGAAUAAGUUCGUCUCCCCGUUGUUUCGUUUUUGCUGUAAAGUAAUAAACGAUGACCAUUAUAUUUGUACAAUUGUUACUGCAUUAAACUUGACACCAUUCCUUGACGCAUACUUUCAGGGUUAUUUUUACAUAAAAAAAUUGUCAGUAUUAAGAUUAUUUGUAUGGAACUUUAGUAGGCUGUGUACGAAGGGAAUUAUAAUUUUGCAUUAAGAAGAUUCCAGGUUAUGAAGGAACUUGGUCUAAGCAUUUGCUAGUAAGAUGUCGGAUCCAUUCAUGUGGUUGCAUGUUUCGAUUUGACCAAUAAUUCGUAUCAUACAUGAAGGCUGGGAAGACAGUGAAAGUGAAGUAAAUGCAUUCUGUGUAAAGCAAUCGACCUUCAAUACAAUUGUUUUCAAAUUGAGGCAAGUAAAAUAUAAUUAAGUGAAACUAAGCUAAUUUUCUAGAUCUCGAGUAAUAUUUUGUAAAUAUUUAUCUAAACUCAAAAUUGAAAGCCAGACAACAAGUAAUGGAAUGUCAUGUAUAUUUCUCAAUUUACAAAAAUUUCAUCACUUGAAUCAUAACAAAGAUCUUUAUCGACGAUUCAAAUCUAAAUCUUCCAUGAAGGAAGUUAAGUUCAGCCGAAUCUUUUUACUGCCUUGACUUACGUAUUGAAGAAGAUUCAUCAUCUGCCUAGGAUUAUAUUCCUUCAACAAAGGCAUAAACAAAAUUAUUAGCUGCUGACGACGCGAAUUUCUUAAAUUAAUGACAACGAAUUUUCAGGUAAAUAAUAUGCCUUUAUGUAUGUUUCGACAAUAUGUGGGUCAGGAAGAGGUCUUAGACAUGUCAAGCUUUCCACUUUGACUUGAAAAUGCC